UCACCUUGUGUGAGUGUGCAUGCAUGUUUUGGUGUUUUCGGUUGAGAAUUAUGGUUAAGAACUGUGUGAAGAUGGGAAAUUUGGGAUUAGGAAGUAAAGCAUUACUCUCUUUUUUCAGGCUAUAUAGUUUAUUUUUUGAAUUGGGAAAAUAGAAACUUUGUGUUCAACUUGGUUUUGAAAGUGAUAUCUGAUUGACUUGUUGUAUUGCAUAUGUGCAUGUGCUGUUGUUUUUAUUGGUGUGAAUUGUGGUUGGCAAUUGUGAAAAGAAGGGAUCUUUGAGACUGGGAAGUGCAGUGUGUUGGAUUUAGGGGAAUCUGUGCUUGCUGGAAAUGCUGGUGCCUUCUGAUUUUCCUGGAAUGUAUUAGAAGUUGCGAUUAGGCAAUGCUGUAAACAGAGAGGAUAAUGAAGAUGCUGCUAGGCUUAAAGUGGCAAUUGCAGCUGCAGCAACAAAUGAUACUGUUGGCAGAGUGAUGUCGCUGCUGAAUGUGAGUAAUUUAACUUGUAACUCUGGUUUUCGUAAGGAGUAAAAUGCUGAAAUUUCUUCUGUUAACCAGUCUUCUUGUUUUCUUGGGGGGGCCGAUUCAGAGAGCAUUAGAACAAGAGCAAUACCUGGAGGCAGCUUUCUUACGAGAUAAUGCUGGUGCUGGUUGUUGCUGCAUCUGAUAUGUGUUUUUUCUCAAGCUAUGUUCCAUGUUUUUCUUUUUCUAAAUAGAAUGUUCACCAUGAC